rnacentral:rRNA from 1 species
CCUACGGGAGACAGCAGUGGGGAAUAUUGGGCAAUGGGCGCAAGCCUGACCCAGCAACGCCGCGUGAAGGAAGAAGGCUUUCGGGUUGUAAACUUCUUUUCUCAGGGACGAAGCAAGUGACGGUACCUGAGGAAUAAGCCACGGCUAACUACGUGCCAGCAGCCGCGGUAAUACGUAGGUGGCAAGCGUUAUCCGGAUUUACUGGGUGUAAAGGGUGCGCAGGCGGGCUGUUAAGCCGGCGGUAAAAAUUCAGGGCUCAACCCUGUCGAGCCGUCGGAACUGGCAGUCUUGAGUGGGCGAGAAGUAUGCGGAAUGCGUGGUGUAGCGGUGAAAUGCAUAGAUAUCACGCAGAACGCCGAUUGCGAAAGCAGCAUACCGGCGCCCAACUGACGCUGAGGCACGAAAGCGUGGGGAUCGAACAGGAUUAGAUACCCCAGUAGUC